CCGCCCAGAGGAGUGAAAUGCAAACGAACCAAUCUGUUUGUCUGUUUACUGGGAAGAGGAACAGAAGCUAGCUGUGUACUGCCACCCUGCAAUGUCAUAUGGGAGUCAGUCUCCCACAAACACAUGCCUAAUGACUCGAUAUAUUCACCCGCUCUCUCUCUCCCUCUCUCUCCUCUAUUUCUCCUACUCUCUCUCCUUCUUUCUCUUUCUCCCUUUCCCCGUACAUCUCUCUCUCUCUCUCUCUCUCUGGCUUUCUUCCUCUCUCCUAAUGGCCCUGUCCAUAGGCACUCCAACUCUCACGUACCCUGCUCUCUGUUCUCCUCUACUCAUCCCCCUCUACAGGCAGGCAGCCUGCCACCUCGCCCUCCCAUUCCCAAGGAAAGUGUGCCGCUCUGGGCCUGGACUCCUGCCACACUCCCCUGGUAGUCCCAGCUCAGCCCGGAUCUCUAGUGGAGGAUGUGAAGGCAUGCUGUGUGUACUACAGUGGGAGAAACCGGAAUGCCUUCAUACUGUAUGUUAAUGCCAGUUGGACUCGACUCCUCCUGGGGAAUCAAGAACGCUGAGACGCCAGGAAUACGAUCUGACCAGACGUAGCUGUGCCCGACAAGCUCUUCUCCCCCUUCAUUCCUUGGUUCCCUCCAUCCACCCACUCUGGGAAUUCCCCCUACGCCUGACCCAGCCAAGGGUCUCUCCCUUUGGUAGACGCCUGCUAACCGAGGGGCAUGCUGCGGGGCGACCGUUCCUCUGUUGAGCUUAACUGUGCAUUCUGUGAUGAUCGAUGAUGGCCAGGGGAGAUAGAAGCGAUAGCGCAAGCAGAGGAAGGAGAGAGGAGAGAGGAGAGAAGAAGAGGUAAAGGAGAAGGGUAACACUAUCCCCAUGCAGGAUACAGGCGAGAAGUCUGAACAACUAGCACCAAGUCUGGCCCAGACACAGCAGCAGAGAGCAGAGAUCAGCAAAGGCAGCAGGACACCUUUGAAGGAAACUAUCAAAUAUUAAGGGAAAGUGGAUACCUCCUCUCGGCUGACUAAAGUAAUGUGGCUGGGCGCGGAUCUGGCCACCUGUAGACCCACCGUAGUGGUGUGAGACAUCUCUUUUUUCCCUAUAGCACUUGCACUCUCACUCUCUUGUGACCGCCACAACGGUCACAAGAGAGUAGGUCAACUUUUGUACUAUGGGGAUAGUAGUUUGACAUAGGCUAGUGCUUUUGUUGUUCGUUAGGCCUACUCAUCUUGUUGGCUGACGAAAAAUAAAUGUGAACAAGUCUUCCAUUAUCUUCAAUAUGCACCUUGGAAUUGGAUAAGGACACGUGCAGUUGAGUCCCCAAUGUGUUUGUCUUCACUUGUAGCCUGUGAAAAAGACCCAACCACGUGAUCGAGCGCAAAAGGCAUGGAUUUUAUUGGGGUGCAUUAUGGCCACACAAAGAGGAUGCCUCUGUGAAAUUCUAGGCAUUAUCAUGCGCUUGUCAAAUUGUGAAUGAGUGACUGAUGUAGUGUGUACAGCCUUCGCAAAAAACUAAGCAGAGCUCAUGUCUUUCAACCAACUUUUUUCAAAUCAUAAUUAGAGUCACAUCAUGCAGCCUUACACUGUAUAAAAAAUCAAAACAUAUAGCUCAACCUUUGUAGAACAACUACAUUUACAUUAAUAACUCUAAAUUAAGCAUAUAGGAAUACCUAUUUCUUUGUUAACCGCCAAACACAGAAUAGCCACAUGUGCGCACUUCCUCAAAUCGUUUGGAGAAAAUAUCCUUUGUAUUGUAUUCAGUUUUGUUCAAUUGUAUUCUUCGUACUUUAAAAUAAUGCCACGGAAUUCUAAGCCAUUUGGCAUAGCCAGAUCAGGACCUAAUUUAAGGACAAGGUUAUUCUGUUCUUCUGAAAUAGCCUACAUUUUCUUCAUAUCAUGCUUCUUUAGAUCUAAAAUAAAUAAUAGAUUUAUUGUGAAGGUGUAGGCUAUAUUACAUGGAUUUAUUAGACUUUUUCAAAUGUAUGUGUGGAAGCCAGGAGAUGCUAAAUGUGUUAAUGUUAAUUAACGGUCUAUUACAGUGAGACUGACAGUUAUUUGCUUGACAAUCACAGGCUGACAAAAUGUUGUGACUGCCACAGCCCUACUCAGAGCCACACACAGACCUGUCAG
rnacentral:lncRNA from 1 species